rnacentral:rRNA from 1 species
GUGUCAGCAGCCGCGGUAAGACAGAGGGUGCAAACGUUGCUCGGAAUCACUGGGCGUAAAGGGCGUGUAGGCGGACUUGUAAGUCGGGCGUGAAAUCCCUGGGCUCAACCCAGGAACUGCGCUCGAAACUGCGAGUCUUGAGUACCGGAGAGGAAGGUGGAAUUCCUGGUGUAGAGGUGAAAUUCGUAGAUAUCAGGAGGAACACCAGUGGCGAAGGCGGCCUUCUGGACGGUAACUGACGCUGAGACGCGAAAGCGUGGGGAGCAAACAGGAUUAGAAACCCCCGUAGUCC